rfam:Gorilla gorilla gorilla genomic chromosome, chr8, whole genome shotgun sequence
GCCAGUCAUGGAGGCAUGCACCUGUAGUACCAGCUACUCUGGAGGCUGAAGCAGGAGGAUCACUUGAGCCCAGGAGUUCUGGGCUGUAGAGCAUUAUGCUGAUUGGGUGUCUGCGCUAAGUUCAAUAUUAAUAUGGUGACUUUCUGGGAGCAGGGGACCACCGGGUUGCCUGAGGAGAUGUGAACUGGCCCAGAUUGGAAACUGAGAAAGCUCAAAUUCCUGAGGUGACGAUUGGUAGGACACUGCCUCUGAAAAGCCACUGUACUCCAGCCUGGGCAACACAGCGAGAUCUUUUCUCAA